UUAUUUUUCGUUACCGUUGAAGCGUGGGUUUUUACAGUGAAUCACUAGUAUGCUCAAAAGUCAAGGAAUGAAUGAUUAAUACACAAAUGCAAACAGCAUGUUGAAUGAAUGGUUUUAUGAGAGAUCAAUUUAGCUGAACAAAAAAAAAUCGUAAUUACAAGCACGGGGAAACUAUUUUAUACUACCGGUACAAACAGCUGACAUCUUUUCAUUUUUGCUGCUAUUUCAUAAUAUCGCUGAUACUUGAUUCUUCUAUCUGAUUUUUCGUAGAUACUGUAUGUAGAAAGACAUUCUGAACGAAUUCAAAACUCAAGGUGAACCGACUGUUUUGCAUCUUCAAUUACCAAAUUUGAGUUGUUAAACAACGAAUGGUCGUAAAGCUUUUCCAAUUAUAAAUAGUACCAAUCUUCUUUCUCUGUCUCAUUUAUAUAAUAUACAUGUAUCUUAUUUUACUUUUCUUGCAGACUACAUAGAUUUACACAUCCUUCUUUACCUAUAAAAGAAUGUACUCG